CACCCCAUCUUUGUGUUGCCACGGCAACGCUCCUCCGUGCCCGUCCCCGCGGGGUCUGCUGCGACUGAAGCAGGAGCCUCUCGCACACGCUCCUUAGAAAGGGCUGCUCUAAUGGGGAACAGCUGCUCAGCACACCACGCGCGGAAUCGAAGGAGCUGCCCUUGGCCACGGUCCCCUCCUCGCUCUGCCCCGAGGCCCAGGGCGGCUGCCCCGGCUCCCCACCUGGGAGUGCUCCCCCUCUGUUGAGCAAUCCCGCAGGGGCCUGGCCGCCCAGCCUCCGCCCUCCCAUUGGAGCCAAAAGAAGAUGGAACCAGGGAGCCAGAACCUAGCGACCCAACCAGAAUGGGGCGGUGGGGCCGCGAUAUCCUGACAUAAUAGGACACGAUGCAGUUUAUUAGGUCGGAGGGUGGGGCCGGUUGCCAGAGGAACCAAGCAUGUGAUUAGAGCCUUGGAACUUCCAGCCCCACCCCCAGAUCUCUAGGUCGGGGAGAAGGGGCUGGAGGGUCCAAUGGGUCACCAACGGCCACGGCCACGAUGUAACCAAAGAUGCCUUAUGUGAAGGAGCCACCUCUGGAUGGGGUUCCGGAGCUUCCUGGGUGCUGGGAGGGCUGCGCACCUGCAGGGCAGCUCCAUGCUCCCUCCCUCUGUGGCUGUUUCCGCCUGGAUCCUUUAUCAAGACCUGGGACCCCACUUUGAAAACCGCUGCUAAUUUAGACGAUCCCACAUGACCCAGACCUAAGCCGGCCCAGCGCUCCGCAGCCGCUUCGCCUCUACUUGGGACUGUGGGACGUGUUCCCAGAGGUCAUGCGUCCGAGCCAUGGGUCUCCCAAGCGUAGUCCGGGCGAGCUGGUUAGCGAUGCCGAAGCUCAGUCCCUUUUGGCCGGAGCCCCGAGACCCCAGAGGCCCCCAGACCUGAAGGAAGCCUGGAAAUUACCUGGUGAAGAGGAAGUGAAAGAAGAUUCCAGAAGAAGGGAUCGUCUGCGUGCGCCCUGAGAAGGAAGAGAAGUCCUGUUGACCAGAGCAGGAUUUGGGGUUCCAAGAACAGAUUGGAGCCUCAGGAACCGCUCUGGCUCCCCUGUGUUGAUGACCAGGGGGCGCCGUGAAUGGAUGAUGGCCCAGCCGCGUCCCCGGAGGGACCAGAAAGGACCAGAAAGGACCAGAAAGGACAGGCAGGCCGCCCUGGGUGCAGGGAGGGGGACUUGAGAGAUGGGAGGCAGAAGGGCUUUAGAAGCCAGCAGGGUCCCCUCUGCACAAGAGGAGCCUGGGGGGCCGGGGUGGGGGCCCCAGUCUGCUGAACCCCGUAGCUGAGGCCUAGAAGGGCUCAGGUCCCCGGCCCCCCAGCCCCGGCUCAGUGUCAGCUGCCCCCAUGGUGGUCCCCAAGUGCCGGCCGUGGGGCCCCCUCCCACUUGGGUGGUUAGAGUGUGUCUCGUCACAUUAAACCAAAAGCUGUCUCUC